rnacentral:rRNA from 1 species
CUAUGAGGAAGUUAGCUUGCUAGAUGGACUCAUGGCGGACGGGUGAGUAACGCGUAAAGAACUUGCCCUUUAGACUGGGAUAACAGAGGGAAACUUCUGAUAAUACUGGAUAAGUUAGUAUAUCGCAUGAUAUGCAAAUGAAAGCUACGGCACUAAAGGAGAGCUUUGCGUCCUAUUAGCUAGUUGGUAAGGUAAGAGCUUACCAAGGCGAUGAUAGGUAGCCGGCCUGAGAGGGUGGACGGCCACAAGGGGACUGAGAUACGGCCCUUACUCCUACGGGAGGCAGCAGUGGGGAAUAUUGGACAAUGGAGGGAACUCUGAUCCAGCAAUUCUGUGUGUGUGAAGAAGGUUUUAGGACUGUAAAACACUUUUAGUAGGGAAGAAAAAAAUGACGGUACCUACAGAAGAAGCAACGGCUAAAUACGUGCCAGCAGCCGCGGUAAUACGUAUGUUGCGAGCGUUAUCCGGAAUUAUUGGGCUUAAAGGGCAUCUAGGCGGUAAGACAAGUUGAAGGUGAAAACCUGUGGCUCAACCAUAGGCUUGCCUACAAAACUGUUGAACUAGAGUACUGGAAAGGUGGGUGGAACUACACGAGUAGAGGUGAAAUUCGUAGAUAUGUGUAGGAAUGCCGAUGAUGAAGAUAACUCACUGGACAGAAACUGACGCUGAAGUGCGAAAGCUAGGGGAGCAAACAGGAUUAGAUACCCUGGUAGUCCUAGCUGUAAACGAUGAUCACUGGGUGUGGGGAUGCGAAGUCUCUGUGCCGAAGCAAAAGCGAUAAGUGAUCCGCCUGGGGAGUACGUUCGCAAGAAUGAAACUCANAGGAAUUGACGGGGGCCCGCACAAGUGGU